CCGUAUGCAGGGGGACAACAGUCAGAAAUGACUGCUAAUACCGCAUAAGCACACAAUGCUGCAUGGCAUGGUGUGAAAAGAUUUAUCGGCAUACGAUGGCCCCGCGUCUGAUUAGCCAGUUGGCAGGGUAAUGGCCUACCAAAGCAACGAUCAGUAGCCGGCUUGAGAGAGUGACUGGCCACAUUGGGACUGAGACACGGCCCAGACUCCUACGGAAGGCAGCAG
rnacentral:rRNA from 1 species